AAAACCCCAUUCUCAAAUUUAUUCAUCAAAUUUCACCCUUCCCUCUCUAAACAAACUAUUUCUAAAAACCUCCAUUAGAGAUGAAACUCAAGAAAAUCAUAGAGGUUGGAUUUUCAUGGUUUGUUUAUCAAGUUGUCAUGGUCAUGGUAUGUAAUGAGGUGAUGGAUGAUUAGAGGAUGUCUCUUAAAGUGAAGGGCUUGAUACAUGAUUCCAAGCUCAACAAAGGAAAAUAUUUUUGAAUUUUUUCAAACAAGAAGCUAAAGAAAGAAUAAAGUUUCAUGAAUAGAAAAGUGAUGAUAAUUUCUACUGAAAAAAUGGAGAAUAUUAACCAAGAUUUCAUAAAAAUCCUUGAUGUGAAAAGACCUCGCAGACAUUGUUAUCUUUUAGAAUCUCGACUUUUUAUGACAGGUACAAAAAAAAGUCGAAGCCAUAAUUCAUACGUAGGACACCUGACAUUGAUCUAUAAUCUUCAUGUAUUUUUAUUUGUUACGCAUUCUUUAUUCAAGGAGAUUCAAAUCAAAGGAAGGGAUUUCUACCUCUAAGUCUAUGACAUAAGUACUUGAACAUUAGAUGGCUUUCAAUGUUUACCAGGUUCCUCUACUAUAGAUGUUUAAUCGUUAGGGGGACAUCAAUUCUUAUCAGAUUUUGAUACUAUAGAGAAUCAUCUUUGAUCAUCAUUGUGCAUGAAAUUCAUUGAGAGUAUCAAAAAAUUUAAUUCGUAUUGUUCUCAAAUUUUUGGAGGACAGGAAAACUCUUCGGGAUUACUU